AAGACCUGCGAAACCCUAGUUCACAUCUCCUGAAUGCAACUCAAACGCUUUAAUUAAGCUAAGGCCUC
rnacentral:tRNA from 1 species